GAUGAACGCUGGCGGCGUGCCUAAUACAUGCAAGUCGAGCGAAUGGAUUAAGAGCUUGCUCUUAUGAAGUUAGCGGCGGACGGGUGAGUAACACGUGGGUAACCUGCCCAUAAGACUGGGAUAACUCCGGGAAACCGGGGCUAAUACCGGAUAACAUUUUGAACCGCAUGGUUCGAAAUUGAAAGGCGGCUUCGGCUGUCACUUAUGGAUGGACCCGCGUCGCAUUAGCUAGUUGGUGAGGUAACGGCUCGCCAAGGCAACGAUGCGUAGCCGACCUGGGAGGGUGAUCGGCCACACUGGGACUGAGACACGGCCCAGACUCCUACGGGAGGCAGCAGUAGGGAAUCUUCCGCAAUGGACGAAAGUCUGACGGAGCAACGCCGCGUGAGUGAUGAAGGCUUUCGGGUCGUAAAACUCUGUUGUCAGGGAAGAACAAGUGCUAGUUGAAUAAGCUGGCACCUUGACGGUACCUAACCAGAAAGCCACGGCUAACUACGUGCCAGCAGCCGCGGUAA
rnacentral:rRNA from 1 species